rnacentral:rRNA from 1 species
CCUACGGGAGGCAGCAGUGAGGACUAUUGGUCAAUGGUCGGGAGACUGAACCAGCCAAGCCGCGUGAGGGAGGAAGGUACAGAGUAUCGUAAACCUCUUUUGUCAGGGAACAAAGACUGGGACGCGUCCCCGGAUGAGUGUACCUGAAGAAAAAGCAUCGGCUAACUCCGUGCCAGCAGCCGCGGUAAUACGGAGGAUGCGAGCGUUAUCCGGAUUUAUUGGGUUUAAAGGGUGCGCAGGCGGUCUGUUAAGUCAGCGGUAAAAGCCCGGGGCUCAACCCCGGCCCGCCGUUGAAACUGGCAGUCGCGAGUUGGAGAGAAGUAUGCGGAAUGCGCGGUGUAGCGGUGAAAUGCAUAGAUAUCGCGCAGAACUCCGAUUGCGAAGGCAGCAUGCCGGCUCCACACUGACGCUGAGGCACGAAAGCGUGGGUAUCGAACAGGAUUAGAUACCCGAGUAGAC